UACGUAGGUGGCAAGCGUUUGUCCGGAAUUAUUGGGCGUAAAGCGCGCGCAGGCGGUUCUUUUAAGUCUGAUGUGAAAGCCCACGGCUCAACCGUGGAAGGUCAUUGGAAACUGGAGAACUUGAGUACAGAAGAGGAAAGUGGAAUUCCACGUGUAGCGGUGAAAUGCGUAGAGAUGCGGAGGAACACCGAUGGCGAAGGCAGCCCCCUGGGCCAACACUGACGCUCAGGCACGAAAGCGUGGGGGAGCAAACAGG
rnacentral:rRNA from 1 species